UACAGGGGGGGCAAGCGUUGUUCGGAAUUACUGGGCGUAAAGGGCCAGUAGGCGGCCAACUAAGUCCGACGUGAAAUCCCAAGGCUUAACCUUGGAACUGCGUGCGGAUACUGGAUGGCUUGAAUUCGGGAGAGGGAUGCAGAAUUCCAGGUGUAGCGGUGAAAUGCGUAGAUAUCUGGAGGAAUACCGGUGGCGAAGGCGGCAUCCUGGACCGACAUUGACGCUGAACGGCGAAAGCUAGGGGAGCAAACGGG
rnacentral:rRNA from 1 species